CCCUAUGGGGUGCAGCAGGAACAAAGGGAAAGCUGGAUAUUCUCGAAUAUGACGAGGAAGCUGAACCGGACUAUCUUCCGGAAAAAGGGAGCACCUCGUUCUCUAUAGAUUUUUCUCUCAAGUAUUCAAGGUUCGGGGCAAUACUCCGCCUUCUUGGACUUUAUAUUCUGAGCCUGAUUCCGCAUUUUGUCCUGAUACUGGUAUAUACAAUUCUUUCAGGCAUCCUCGGUUUUAUAAACCAGAUAGUAAUCCUCUCCACCGGGAGAUGCGUUGAGGAUUUCUCACUGAUAACUGAAAACACGCUGAGAUACUACCUCUACAUCAAGACGAAUAUAACAGGAAUUGUGGAAGACAGGCCGGUUUACGCAGGGAGGGAGGGC
rnacentral:rRNA from 1 species